GGGCCGGUAGCUCAGCUAGGUAGAGCGGCGGGCUCCAGACCCGUAGGUCGGGGGUUCAAGUCCCUCCCGGCCCACCA
rnacentral:tRNA from 1 species